rnacentral:rRNA from 1 species
GACGAACGCUGGCGGCGUGCUUAACACAUGCAAGUCGAACGGAAAGGCCCUGCUUGCAGGUUACUCGAGUGGCGAACGGUUGAGUAACACGUGGGUGAUCUGCCCCGCACUUCGCGUUAAGCCUGCGAAACUGUGUCUAAUACCGGAUAGUAGCCAUCCUUCGUGUGAUGGUUGGACAGUUUUUUCGGUGUAGGAUGAGCUCGCGGCCUAUCAGCUUGCUGGUGGGGUAAUGGCCUACCAAGGCGGCGACGGGUAGCCGGCCUGAGAGGGUGGACGGCAACAUUGGGACUGAGAUACGGCCCAGACUCCUACGGGAGGGGGCAGUAGGGGAGAGUGCAAAAUGGGAGCGAGCCUGAUGCAGAGACGCCGAGGGGGGGAUGGCGGACUUCGGGUUGUGAACGCAUUUCGCUAGGGACGGAGCUGUUAGUGACGGUACCUGGAUAAGAAGCACCGGCUAACUACGUG